AGUGAACGCUGGCGGUAGGCCUAACACAUGCAAGUCGAACGGCAGCACCGUAAGAGCUUGCUCUUACGGGUGGCGAGUGGCGGACGGGUGAGGAAUACACCGGAAUCUACUUUUUCGUGGGGGAUAACGUAGGGAAACUUACGCUAAUACCGCAUACGACCUACGUGUGAAAGCACGGGAUCUUCGGACCUUGCGCGAUUGAAUGAGCCGAUGUCGGAUUAGCUAGUUGGCGGGUUAAAGGCCCACCAAAGCGACGAUCCGUAUCUGGUCUGAGAGGAUGAUUGCCAGCACUGGAGGUGAGACACAGUAGACACGCGUACGGGGGGAACCAGACGGGAAUAUUGGAGAAAGCGGCAAAGGCUGAUCCAGGCAUACGGCGUGUGUUAAGAAGCCGUUAGGGUUGUGAAGCCCUUUUGGUGGGAAAGAAAAACAGCAGGUUAACCCGCCGCUGUACUGACGGUACCCGAAGAAUAAGCACCGGCUAACUUCGUG
rnacentral:rRNA from 1 species